UUAGGGUUAGAAGUAGCGCGAGAUAUGACGAGGGGGAAGCAGAAGAUCGAGGCGCAGAAGCGCAAUGCGGAGCGCAAUCAGAAGCCCAAGGGAUCACAGAUCGAGGCGCGCGCCGCGGCUCUCAAGAUAAACUGCCCAAUCUUCGCAAUUGGCCAAUUACAACCAGCUGCGAGACCACUUCGCGUCCAAGCACCCUAAAGAGAUUCCCCCGCCCGACACCACCCCAGCAUCGUCGUGAUUUCGCUCGCGCCCCCAUCCAGAGAUUGGGACAAAACGCAUCACUCGGGUAAGUCCAAGCGCACAGGGAAUGGAAAGAAGAAAAUCUCUUCAUUGGCUUUUGGGUGGGCUCAUAAAAAUUCGAUCGGCUCUCUAUCUUUCAUCGUCUCCAUCCGACCCAUUUUUUUUUUCCCACGUAGAACAGGCACGCCAUGACAAGAGGAUCCGAUAAGCUGACAAGUACGGGAAGAGUACGGCCGCGAGAGCAAUCAACCCGAGCAUUGGAGAUUUGGCAGGAGGAGCUGCAACAUGGUUGCGCCGAUGAUGUCCCUUUUGUGCAGCUUUCAUAUCUAUGCUUAUUUGGAUUAGGAAAAGCAAACUUCUAAGAAUGCAAAGCGCGGCAAUCAAAUUAAAA